GUAACUAUAACGGUCCUAAGGUAGCGAAAUUCCUUGUCGGGUAAGUUCCGACCUGCACGAAUGGCGUAAUGAUGGCCAGGCUGUCUCCACCCGAGACUCAGUGAAAUUGAACUCGCUGUGAAGAUGCAGUGUACCCGCGGCAAGACGGAAAGACCCCGUGAACCUUUACUAUAGCUUGACACUGAACAUUGAGCCUUGAUGUGUAGGAUAGGUGGGAGGCUUUGAAGUGUGGACGCCAGUCUGCAUGGAGCCGACCUUGAAAUACCACCCUUUAAUGUUUGAUGUUCUAACGUGGACCCGUAAUCCGGGUUGCGGACAGUGUCUGGUGGGUAGUUUGACUGGGGCGGUCUCCUCCUAAAGAGUAACGGAGGAGCACGAAGGUUGGCUAAUCCUGGUCGGACAUCAGGAGGUUAGUGCAAUGGCAUAAGCCAGCUUGACUGCGAGCGUGACGGCGCGAGCAGGUGCGAAAGCAGGUCAUAGUGAUCCGGUGGUUCUGAAUGGAAGGGCCAUCGCUCAACGGAUAAAAGGUACUCCGGGGAUAACAGGCUGAUACCGCCCAAGAGUUCAUAUCGACGGCGGUGUUUGGCACCUCGAUGUCGGCUCAUCACAUCCUGGGGCUGAAGUAGGUCCCAAGGGUAUGGCUGUUCGCCAUUUAAAGUGGUACGCGAGCUGGGUUUAGAACGUCGUGAGACAGUUCGGUCCCUAUCUGCCGUGGGCGCUGGAGAACUGAGGGGGGCUGCUCCUAGUACGAGAGGACCGGAGUGGACGCAUCACUGGUGUUCGGGUUGUCAUGCCAAUGGCACUGCCCGGUAGCUAAAUGCGGAAGAGAUAAGUGCUGAAAGCAUCUAAGCACGAAACUUGCCCCGAGAUGAGUUCUCCCUGAGACUUAGAGUCUCCUGAAGGAACGUUGAAGACGACGACGUUGAUAGGCCGGGUGUGUAAGCGCAGCGAUGCGUUGAGCUAACCGGUACUAAUGAACCGUGAGGCUUAACCUU
rnacentral:rRNA from 1 species